rnacentral:lncRNA from 1 species
CGCCGGCGUCCCGAGAGGUUGCCUGGGCCUUGGGUCCCACAAGGCAUUAUGCUUGCGGCCCUAUAAGGAUGAGGUCUUGCUUUCAAGGGAACAUCAGCCAGAAGGAGACUAAACAACUUUGAAACAAUGUCGAAGUUUCAAGCUGCAAGAAGUAUUAGCCGAGAGGGAUGGUGACUAAAGGUUCUCCUGGAUUCCCCGUUUCAGACCAUAAUCCCCCCGUGAUACAGAUGUCAGGGGUUCCAUCCUCAGUCCAUGUGAAUGAGUGGGCCAGAGUGUCCCGCGCGUGCUGUAUUUUCUCGCCAGCAAGAAAUACACGCAGGACACUCGGAUCCUUC